UCGGGGUAUUUUGACCAUGCGAAGGUAGCAUAAUCAUUUGCCUCUUAAUUAGGGGCUGGAAUGAAGGGUCAGACGAGGAACAAUCUGUCUCUACUUUUGUUUUGAAGUUAAUUUUUUGGUGAAAAAGCUAAAAUUUCCUUGGAGGACGAUAAGACCCUAUAGAUCUUUAUAAGCCAAAGUUUUAUUAUUUGGAUGUUAAUUAAUAGAAUGACCGUUUAUUUUGUUGGGGCGACGUUGAGAGAAGAUAAAUCCCUCAAUUUGAUAUAACAAAUACUAUUGGUUAAAUGAUCCUUUAGUGAAUCAGGAUUAAGUUACCUUAGGGAUAACAGCGUAAUUCUUCUUGAGAGCUCAAAUCGACAGAAGAGUUUGCGACCUCGAUGUUGGUUCAGGGUUCCUACUACGUGUA
rnacentral:rRNA from 1 species